rnacentral:rRNA from 1 species
GUUCCAGACUCCUACGGGAGGCAGCAGUGAGGAAUAUUGGUCAAUGGGCGCAAGCCUGAACCAGCCAAGUCGCGUGAGGGAUGACGGUCCUAUGGCUUGUAAACCUCUUUUGUCGGGGAGCAAGGCCCGCCACGUGUGGCGGGAAGGAGAGUACCCGAAGAAAAAGCAUCGGCUAACUCCGUGCCAGCAGCCGCGGUAAUACGGAGGAUGCGAGCGUUAUCCGGAUUUAUUGGGUUUAAAGGGUGCGUAGGCGGAAUGCCAAGUCAGCGGUAAAAUCGCGGGGCUCAACCUCGCUCCGCCGUUGAAACUGGCGUUCUUGAGUGGGCGAGAAGUAUGCGGAAUGCGUGGUGUAGCGGUGAAAUGCAUAGAUAUCACGCAGAACUCCGAUUGCGAAGGCAGCAUACCGGCGCCCAACUGACGCUGAAGCACGAAAGCGUGGGUAUCGAACAGGAUUAGAUACCCGUGUACGU